GACGAACGCUGGCGGCGUGCCUAAUACAUGCAAGUCGAACGCAGUUGCGAACGGGUGAGUAACGCGUAGGUAACUGCCUCAUAGCGGGGGAUAACUAUUGGAAACGAUAGCUAAUACCGCAUACUUUGAGAUGGACCUGCGUUGUCUUAGCUAGUUGGUGAGGUAAAGGCCCACCAAGGCGACGAUGCAUAGCCCACCUGAGAGGGUGGUCCGGCACACUGGGACUGGGACAACGGCCCGACUCCGGCGGGAGGGAGCAAGAGGGGAGCUUCGGGAAUGGACGGAAGGCUGACCGAGCAACGCCGCGGGAGUGAAGAAGGUUUUCGGGUCGGAAAGCUCUGUUGAUAGAGGAGCGGUAACUAACCAGAAAGGUACGGCUAACUACGUGCCAGCAGCCGCGGUAAUUC
rnacentral:rRNA from 1 species